GAUGCCUUGAGAACCAGCACCGAAUUUCCAAGAAGCCCACGCUGCGACAGAGCUGCCAAGGGUUUGGCUCAGAAAAUUCAGUGGAUAAGAUGGAGGCUUACGUUGUCGGAAUAAACCCAUCUCCCUUACUAGAGGGACAAGCCUGGUAUACUGGGGAAAUUUUGAAGUUCUGGAGUUGGACAGAACUGAGUUAAAAUCCUACAUGUGUGGCCGUGGAUUCGUGCCAAACUCUCAGGAACAGACAAAAGGUGGAGAAAAUGAAGCUCAGAGAGGUUAAGAAGCUGGUCCAAGAUUACACA